rnacentral:rRNA from 1 species
ACUCCUACGGGAGGCAGCAGUGGGGAAUAUUGCACAAUGGGCGCAAGCCUGAUGCAGCCAUGCCGCGUGUAUGAAGAAGGCCUUCGGGUUGUAAAGUACUUUCAGCAGUGAGGAAGGUGGAUAUGUUAAUAGCAUAUUCAUUUGACGUUAGCUGCAGAAGAAGCACCGGCUAACUCCGUGCCAGCAGCCGCGGUAAUACGGAGGGUGCGAGCGUUAAUCGGAAUUACUGGGCGUAAAGCGCAUGCAGGUGGUUUGUUAAGUCAGAUGUGAAAGCCCGGGGCUCAACCUCGGAAUUGCAUUUGAAACUGGCAAACUAGAGUACUGUAGAGGGGGGUAGAAUUUCAGGUGUAGCGGUGAAUGCGUAGAGAUCUGAAGGAUACCGGUGGCGAAGGCGGCCCCCUGGACAGAUACUGACACUCAGAUGCGAAAGCGUGGGGAGCAAACAGGAUUAGAUACCCUGGUAGGCUCUAC